rnacentral:rRNA from 1 species
UACGUAGGGAGCUAGCGUUGUGCGGAAUCAUUGGGCGUAAAGCGCGCGUAGGCGGCCCGGUAAGUCCGCUGUGAAAGUCAAAGGCUCAACCUUUGAAUGUCAGCGGAUACUGCCGGGCUAGAGUCCGGAAGAGGCGAGUGGAACUCCUGGUGUAGCGGUGGAAUGCGCAGAUAUCAGGAAGAACACCCGUGGCUAAGGCGGCUCUCUAGUACGGUACUGACGCUGAGACGCGAAAGCGUGGGGAGCGAACAGG